rnacentral:snRNA from 1 species
UGAUGUGAGGAUGAUCUGGCUGCAACAUCUGUCACCCCAUUGAUCGCCAUGGUUGACUCAGCUGAUCUGGCUGGCUAGGCGGGUAUCUCCUUCCUUCCUCAAUGAUCCAUGUGCAUCACUUCUGAAUAGAGGAUGACCACCUCUGAUAGAGGAGGACAGUUCCUCAGUCAAGGGUAUACGAGUAGCUGUGUUCCACUGCUAGAACCUCCAAACAAGCUAUCAAAAUCCAUUAGGUCAAACAUCAAGUCCUAUAGUUUCAUGUCCAGAGUCUGAGGCAAUCU